UCGCUGGUUGCCAACCACCAUUAAAUAACAAGAAGAAGAAAAUAUUGAUCUGCUUUUCUUAGUUUUGCACGUUUAAGACGCAAUUCAAACUCAAACAAAGCUGCAAAGCAGGAGAAAAACAUGACCAUCAACUAUUCUGUGCCACAGAUCCAGUUCGCUGCAGCACACAGUGAUGAUGAGAUGGUGGAAGAACAACAGAGACAAUUCGGACCGUUAACAUGUGCAACUUAGAAGUAGUCAGAGGUAACUGGAUGGAGUUCAGUCAGGUUAAAUGCACGGUUGAUUGGAUUAUAUCUGAAGAUCGUAUACUAUUCGUGACAACUCUGCUAGACUCCAAAUUGCUCGUCCAUGAGGGAUUAUCUCAAAAGUAAAUGAAACAACUAAACUUGACACUUUUUCCCUAAAACGGACUGACAUGGGAAACAUUAAAGUUGGAUUGACACCAGCUAAUCAGUCUGAAGAUGAUCCAUGGCCCAUGCUUUCUGGACAUUUACACAAGACGAACAUCAAUGGAGACAAGCUCUCUCACCAUCUUGCAAGACGCUGUCUCUGUCCAAUAGGUUUUUUGAGUGCAACAGUUUUGAUUUUUUUUUCCUUCUUUUACCCGUUUGUUAAAAAUUAUUUCAGCUACUUACACUUUAGUUGUCACAUGUAUUGGCUCACCCUACAAAUCAAUGAACUCAGUCCACAAAGCAAGAUCAGGGUUCAGUGCAGGUCAGUCAAGUUCCUUCACACCACACACCCUCAUCCAUGUCCUUGUGGACCUGGCUUUGUGCAUUGAUUUGGUGGUGUGAGCCAGUAUUUUGGCCAAAGUGUGUAUAGAGGCAGAAGUGUGGGGCUUGAUAUUAUAUUCAUUACAAUUCAGUUUAUUUGUAUGGUGCCAACAAAACGAAUGCCAAGGCACUUCACAUUGUAGAUUUAAGACCCUACAAAAUAUAACUAAGAAAACCCAACACUUGAGCAUAUGUUGUCUGCCAUGAUAUGGAUAUGACAUAAUAUUGUUAUUGUUUGUACAACCAUCUGAGAAAAUAAUGGAUUACAUGGUUUAGUAA